UAGGGAAUCUUGCGCAAUGGGCGAAAGCCUGACGCAGCCAUGCCGCGUGAAUGAUGAAGGUCUUAGGAUUGUAAAAUUCUUUCACCGGGGACGAUAAUGACGGUACCCGGAGAAGAAGCCCCGGCUAACUUCGUGCCAGCAGCCGCGGUAAUACGAAGGGGGCUAGCGUUGCUCGGAAUUACUGGGCGUAAAGGGCGCGUAGGCGGACAGUUUAGUCAGAGGUGAAAGCCCAGGGCUCAACCUUGGAAUUGCCUUUGAUACUGGCUGUCUUGAGUGCGGGAGAGGUGUGUGGAACUCCGAGUGUAGAGGUGAAAUUCGUAGAUAUUCGGAAGAACACCAGUGGCGAAGGCGACACACUGGCCCGUUACUGACGCUGAGGCGCGAAAGCGUGGGGAGCAAACAGGAUUAGGUACCCUGGUAGUCCACGCCGUAAACGAUGAAUGCUAGUUGUCGGCAUGCAUGCAUGUCGGUGACGCAGCUAACGCAUUAAGCAUUCCGCCUGGGGGAGUACGGUCGCAAGAUUAAAACUCAAAUGAA
rnacentral:rRNA from 1 species